CACACUCCACAGCAGGCAGUUCCCGGGCGUUUGCCGUCUCCAGGCUGCCCUGCGCUGGAUGGCGCAUCUUGUGUCACCCACAAUCGGAACAGAACCCUGCCACCCCGUGUGAACACGCCUGGGCUAGCCUGCUGGAGGAGACGGUGCAUGUGAAAGAGACUGAGGCAGCACAGCCUGUAGCCAGCUGACCCCCAGACAGCUGCCUACCUGAGUCCAAGUGGACCACAGACGCCCAGCCUGUUCCAGAACCACCUGCAAGACUCCCAAGAUUCAGAGGAUUGGGACAUGGAAAUCUCUGAGGGGCCGUGAGUCUGCCUGUCACAGGAGAUAGUCAUAUUGGUCAGAGUCUCCAAGGAUAACACAGAAUCUUCAGUGAAACAAAUGGAAGAAGUGCUGAGGACCACUUGGUCCAACCACCUCGGGGCAUUAUUGACAUCAGUGCAGCAUGAAUGUCGCCUCCUGUUGUGCGAAGUCAGCAGAAUCGCAGAAAUAAAAACAGGAACUCUGGGAGGACUUGUCCAAUCUUCCAUGGCACUAUCGUAAGCUUCCAUUUUGUAGUUCUCAAAAUAAUCUUUUUUUUUGUAAUUCUAAUUAGGAUAAAAAGCUACAUUUAGUAAGUCCUUCAGAGGUCUGCCUUGGAGCAGGAAAAAUUAGUUUAAAAAGGUGCAGUCCAGAGCACUGGUUCUCAAACUAUGGUCUAGGAAGAGA